AUUGAACGCUGGCGGCAGGCCUAACACAUGCAAGUCGAGCGGUAGAGAGGAGCUUGCUUCUCUUGAGAGCGGCGGACGGGUGAGUAAUGCCUAGGAAUCUGCCUGAUAGUGGGGGAUAACGUCCGGAAACGGACGCUAAUACCGCAUACGUCCUACGGGAGAAAGUGGGGGCUCUUCGGACCUCACGCUAUCAGAUGAGCCUAGGUCGGAUUGGCUAGUUGGUGGGGUAAAGGCGCACCAAGGCGACGAUCCGUAACUGGUCUGAGAGGAUGAUCAGUCACACUGGAACUGAGACACGGUCCAGACUCCUACGGGAGGCAGCAGUGGGGAAUAUUGGACAAUGGGCGAAAGCCUGAUCCAGCCAUGCCGCGUGUGUGAAGAAAGUCUUCGGAUUGUAAAGCACUUUAAGUUGGGAGGAAGGGUCGUUACCUAAUACGUGACGAUUUUGACGUUACCGACAGAAUAAGCACCGGCUAACUCUGUGCCAGCCGCCGCGGUAACAC
rnacentral:rRNA from 1 species